ensembl:lncRNA
AAAAAUAGCUCUAAGGAACCGCUUUCAUUGUGUGCACCUGCCUAUUCAUCCAGACACUCCGAGGAAGCUCCUGGAAAUGAAAUACGGCUUCGUCCACACGAUAAAUCACACUCAGAAAGGAACUCUCUGCCCACAAGAUCCCUGUGAAAUGUCGCCUCGAAUGAAGAUAGUUCCUGCCAGGUACAUAAACUCACUACCUGCAGAGACAAAAUGGCAUGGCUGCAGGCAUUUAAGUGACAAUAGCUAUGUUGAUGAGAACGGAAUAAUGUAUAAAACCACGAAGAAAAGCAAAACAUUUUUCUGAGGCUCAUCUAAAAAGGGCCUGGACAGG